GCGGUAAUACGGAGGAUCCGAGCGUUAUCCGGAUUUAUUGGGUUUAAAGGGUGCGUAGGCGGCCUAUUAAGUCAGGGGUGAAAUACGGUGGCUCAACCAUCGCGUGCCUUUGAUACUGAUGGGCUUGAAUCCAUUUGAAGUGGGCGGAAUAAGACAAGUAGCGGUGAAAUGCAUAGAUAUGUCUUAGAACUCCGAUUGCGAAGGCAGCUCACUAAGCUGGUAUUGACGCUGAUGCACGAAAGCGUGGGGAUCGAACAGGAUUA
rnacentral:rRNA from 1 species